rnacentral:rRNA from 1 species
AUACGUAGGGGGCGAGCGUUGUCCGGAAUGAUUGGGCGUAAAGGGCGCGUAGGCGGCCCGGUAAGUCUGGAGUGAAAGUCCUGUUUUUAAGAUGGGAAUUGCUUUGGAUACUGUCGGGCUUGAGUGCAGGAGAGGUAAGUGGAAUUCCCAGUGUAGCGGUGAAAUGCGUAGAGAUUGGGAGGAACACCAGUGCCGAAGGCGACUUACUGGACUGUAACUGACGCUGAGGCGCGAAAGUGUGGGGAGCAAACAGGAUUAGAUACCCUGGUAGUCCACACUGUAAACGAUGAAUGCUAGGUGUAGGGGGUAUCGACCCCUUCUGUGCCGCAGUCAACACAAUAAGCAUUCCGCCUGGGGAGUACGGCCGCAAGGUUGAAACUUAAAGGAAUUGACGGGG